GGCCGAGACGCUGAGGGGCCGACCGCCUGUACACGACAGCUUCAUCGCCACGGAACCCGGCCCGGCAGUCACUCUGGAACAGGCCGUGAGACGGCACCUACAGCGACCACGGGCCGCUGACGUCUUCACACGGCAGCAUGGCGAAGCGGGUUGAGGGCUCGGCCCCCGUCAAGGACCGCAUCCACUGGCAGCAGGUGGCCGCCGCCACCAUCGCUAACCUGAGCACGCUGUGCGUGGGCUGCGCCAUGGGCUGGACGGCGCCGGUGCUGCCCGAGCUGGAGCGUCUGCUGGAGCAGCCGGGCGCCGGGCUGGUGGAGGGCGAGGCGCUGAGC